UAUUUCUGCAAUUUUUCAGGAUUCAUUUGGAGCCGGGUAUGACAAAUGUUGUAGCAAAAGAGGCAAAGACAAGGUUGCGGUCGUCAAAUGGGAGACAACCAGCUAGUAAUUCAAAUAGUAUUACUCCGCAAGACCAAAUAUCUGCUGCAGCACCAUCAUAGCUCUUAUUCGCAAUUAGCUGUUGAUUAAUAGAUGAAAACAGUAUCCAUGAGAAUGAACGACAACCAGGUAUAACUUUUAGCUAUUAUAAUUUGCCUAAUUUUUAUCACAUUCUGUUACACCUUAAUAUUAGUCUCAUCAGUUGAUUAACAUUUUAGUGGCUGAGAUGAUUGUUUAAGUGUGUCAAAUACUAGAUUGGUAUUGGUUGGCUAGUUAGGAGUCUUUGUUAGUGUAGCCUAUUUCUAAGAGGGAGUCUUAUGGGGUAUGAAGUUUAAUGUGAAUUAUUUAGAGUAAAAUAUUGCUCUAGGGAGAAACCAAACUAUUCCUUUGAUAUCAAUAAAUUACUUAUUCUCUAAUUCUUUCAAGAUUUGGUUUGGAACAUUAGUGUAUCACUUUCAUUCUUGUUCUUAAAAAUUAACUUUGAUUAUUUUGAUAACCCAAGAAAAACAGAAUUGAAUCAUUUCUUACCUCGGGUGCUACGUAGCUUGGAGAGCCACAUGCUGUAGAUAACAGGCCACCUGGCUAUUAAGUUGCUAAGAAUUUCAGCCAAGUACUCACAUAUUUGAUUAAAACUGGUGAUGAACAGAACAAAAUUGUAAGUUUGCAUAUGCUAUGUACCUUAUGCAUUAAUGCACUUAGUCCAAAAUCCGAUACUUUUAUAUUCCCUUUGCUAUCCAAAAGCAAGUUUUCUGGCUGAAUAAGAUGCUUAAUUGUUGUCAUUCAUUCUAUGUGGCUUUCCUGAAUACAUAGAGUUAAAAAAAAUACAAACUUGUUGUGGUUUACAGACCUUUAAAUCUCUGUGAUACACUCCCUUGUUGUGGCAGUAGUCUACCACAUCAAUCAACUGUUGAAAGAGUUUUCUUGCCUCAGAUUCGUUUAACCUCUUGGAAUAUAACUGCAGAUUUAGAAGGAUUAGAAACAAAUGAUGUUUAAGAAAGAAAAGCUUUCGAAAACCUUCUCACCAUCUUGUCUGAGAGUUGUCCACCGGGGACAUAUUCCAUGACGAUAUAGAUUUUUGUCUUUGUGCCUAUAACCUGUUAACGAAACCAAACUAGAAAAAUAUAGUAAAGAAUAGGCAAACACUUAAGUUGAUUAUUACAUAUACAUACCUCAUGUAUACGUACAAUGUUGGGGUGAUGUAGAAUUUUCAUUGUUCUUAUUUCUCUUUGCACCUAAUAAAUUCAUUUACAUACAUACAUAUACAUUAAUACUAUUCAUUUGUUUAUUGUUGACAAUAUGGAUAUAUUACUAUAAUAAAACAAAUUUCAUGCCUGGUGCAUUAGAUUAGUGUUUUGGACCGUGAGUUUAUCAACGACCUUGAGUGCAACAUACUCCCCAGUAGUGCUAUCUACACCCAGCUUAACCUUGGCAAAUGUACCUUCGCCGAUAGUCCGACCGAUCUCAUACUUUCCUAUCAUCUUUUUGCCAAAUCCCAUUUUCUUAAUUGCCCUUCAAUAAAACGCCUUUCUUUCUUUCCAGUACUAACAGUCAACACUUGCUUCAACUUCCUUGUCCGUGGUAGCUAGUUUUUGGUUCAAAAGUUUCCUCAUAUUUUUUGAGUUGGGUCUUUGCUUGCUGACUAGUUGGUUAGUACGUGGUUAUUGUUGACUGAAGAGAACUAUAAUGUUUGAAUGGAAGAUACAUACAUAUAUAUUUAUAUAUAUAUAUAUAUAUAUAUAUAUAUGAGAAAUGUUAUUGUCAACCUUCCGUAUUUGAAAAUACAUCUUGGAAUAUUUUUAAUUUUUUUUUUGUGGCGGUGUUCGUUAUAUUUAUAAUAUUAUCUCUGUAAAUUUUGGAAAUAUUUCCAAUAAUUUACAGUGCUGAAAAUAAAUUUGAAGUAUUUUAAACACGUGUGAUAAAUUGAAAUAUCAAGAACUUUAUUUUCAAUACCAUAAACUAUUUAGAAUUUUUCAAAAAUUUAUCAGAAUAUUGUAAUAAAAAAUAUUUUGGCAUGUGAUUUCGAGUAUGAAGAUUGGCUAAGAGAUUGUAAUUAAUACUUUUCAUAUAUUAUUAGGUAUAAUAAAUAUUGAAGAGUAAUUAUUAUGGUUUUGAAUAUUUCCUAUACAUCAUUUUCAGUAAAAUAUUUGAAUAGUGUUGUAAGUAAUGAAUGAGGGUAGUUCAUUCAUACCAUUAUAAGCGUCAUGAUGAUGGUACUUGGUCCUGCAGGGUCAACUCAAUUUGAUGAUGAAUUGUUGGCCACAAAAUAGGUAAUGAGUGAAACAUAACACAAUCUGUUUUUUCUAUUUUCAGUGAUUAAAUUCUUUCGAGUGAAUAUUCAAAUUUGUGGGUUCACUUUCAUGUUGAAGAGAAAUAAUUUAGUUAAGGUAUGAAUUUGCUAAUUUUUGAAGUAUCUAAUUCGAGAACUCCAUUGACAUGCCCCCACCAUAGUUAAUUGAAACAUUUUUGACAAAAUCAAGCUAGGAUAAAUUUUGUCUUGUGUAAGUUAAAGUUCUAUUAUUUUGUCAAGUACAUCAGCUUCAAAUUACAUAUUUUACUACGUUUUUUUUGUGUGUGUUGUGGUGAGUUAUGAGUUCAAGCUCUUUAGUGAUUCAAGAGGUGGAGGAAAGGUGGUUAGAUUUUCAUGUGGGUGAAGAUGAAGAAGGAGAAUUGAAUUAUGAUUUGGUGGAAGAUGAGAUUGAUGCAAGUUGUGUUUGGUGGGAAUGCUUUUGUUUGAUGUUGCUAUUGAUUUCUUGACUUUCCAACAAAAGAUGGCAAUUUAGGAGUGUUCAUCUACUCUAAUCUGCAUUCUUUUGCUUAUAGUGCAUCCGAUCCGCACUAAAUACGGAUUUUAUAUUUUGGAUCCAAUCCAAUCCGCACAAUAGUUCAAAUUCAAUUCAAUUCGCAAAAGUACGGAUUAGAUCGGUUAUUUUAGAUUGGUUACUUUGUUA